AUUUAGGGCGUGUUGCAGCUUUGUAUUUCGCCGUUGCCUCGUGUAGUUUACUUGAAGUCCUCGACUGUUUGUGAAAAGAAGUACUUUACAUUAAAGAUACGACGCUUAAAUACAGCAACGAAGCAUAAAAUCCGAAGCUAAAGACAUGAUUGAGGUAUGUUCUAUCAAUUUGAUGUGAAAUGUUGAUAUUUUAACGAGUUCAAAUGGUUGAAACUACUUGUCGAAGUUGACGAUCGCAAGUUGCUUCGCGUUCGAUGUAUUGUUCUUGGAUAGAGAUACUGAAUUAAACCUUAACGUUUCGUGAAGUUUAGUUUGAUAAAAUUAGUAGAGAGAUGAGUGCAUAAAGUAUUUAGCCUUUAGGGUAUUUUAAAGCUAAAUUGGUUUUAAAAUUCGUCAUUUUAGCGAAAACAGGAAAUGUUGAAUUGUGUGAAUGUCGUCGAUGUGGAACACAACGCGUUCUUUCUGGUCUCCCUGGUCGGUGCGAGGAGACAUCGGUCAUUGUAAUGAAUGGAUGACAAUGUGUGUCGUUGGCAAACCUACACUCACCACUGCGAUAGGCAGUCAAGCAUUUUUAACCUGCACAUUUUUGUUUUAAUUUCCCGUAUUUUUAUUUUAUGUUCAUAAAUAUCAUGACUCAUGACUCUAAAGCUGGAAGGAGUUGAGAUUCCCCACUCAACUGCAUGCCUUCCGAUCAUUUAUAGACUCCAUUUUACAUGCUACCAUUUUACCAGUAAGAAUUUUUUGAAAAUUUAGAGACUAUAUAGAACCCAACUAUAUGUCAUUGACUCCAGGAAUAAAUGCUUUGUGACUUGUGUGUAUAAAAUAGGUACGCACAUAUAUAUAUGGCAAGAUCAUAGCAUGCAUGGGCAGUGGCAUUUCAACUUUGCAGGGUGUUAGCCAGAAAAAAAAGUUUUGUCCGUUAAACGUAAAUUGGGAACUUUUUUUGACCGAUCAAAGUCCUUGUGUAGGAAUAAAUAGUGUUUUUUUCCAACGUGUUUCUCCUUAGAUGCAAACAACGGUAGCUUGGUUUUGUACAUUUCAUUUCCGCGGUGAAUGAACACUGAAAAUGCACCCGAUGGGGCGAUCGCACUUCGUUUUGUAUAUUUCAUUUCCCGUGAAUGAACACGGAUGCACACCGAUUACAAUUUGUUUUGUACAGUUCAUUUCAGUGAAUACACACCCAAUAUGAAUGAAAUGCGAUACAUUUUGAGAAAAUAGUUAAUGGGAAAAAGUAAAUAAAACGUUCUUUGAUAUAAUAAUAUAAAAUCAAACGCAAUGCACUUUCUCAUAAGAAAAAAUGAAAAUCUUCCAGUAGACACAGUUCAUGGGAAAGCCCCUUAGCUACUUCAAAUGGGAAGAGUCCGUCAAACGGACAGUAUAUAUAAUGGCUAGCUAACACCCUGCUUUAUUAUUUUUCCAAGGUCUCUGUGAGACUUCGAAUCAUUCAGCAUGAACAAGCAGUACAUGUAAAAAGAAAGGCGCCGCUUUUUGGGUGUACUGUUUGUCCAUGUUGAAUGGCUGGAAGUGUUGCAGGUGUCUUCGGAUAUCUAAUAAAGUUGUAAUGUUAUUUCGGUGCUGUUUCUAUAAUGGGCAGCUUGUUAUGGCUAUAAUAUGCCUUAGCCUAAAAAAAUGCAGUUAU
rnacentral:lncRNA from 1 species